AUAAUGGGUCAGCGACUUAUAUUCUGUAGCAAGGUUAACCGAAUAGGGGAGCCGAAGGGAAACCGAGUCUUAACUGGGCGUUAAGUUGCAGGGUAUAGACCCGAAACCCGGUGAUCUAGCCAUGGGCAGGUUGAAGGUUGGGUAACACUAACUGGAGGACCGAACCGACUAAUGUUGAAAAAUUAGCGGAUGACUUGUGGCUGGGGGUGAAAGGCCAAUCAAACCGGGAGAUAGCUGGUUCUCCCCGAAAGCUAUUUAGGUAGCGCCUCGUGAAUUCAUCUCCGGGGGUAGAGCACUGUUUCGGCAAGGGGGUCAUCCCGACUUACCAACCCGAUGCAAACUGCGAAUACCGGAGAAUGUUAUCACGGGAGACACACGGCGGGUGCUAACGUCCGUCGUGAAGAGGGAAACAACCCAGACCGCCAGCUAAGGUCCCAAAGUCAUGGUUAAGUGGGAAACGAUGUGGGAAGGCCCAGACAGCCAGGAUGUUGGCUUAGAAGCAGCCAUCAUUUAAAGAAAGCGUAAUAGCUCACUGGUCGAGUCGGCCUGCGCGGAAGAUGUAACGGGGCUAAACCAUGCACCGAAGCUGCGGCAGCGACGCUGAUGCGUUGUUGGGUAGGGGAGCGUUCUGUAAGCCUGUGAAGGUGUGCUGUGAGGCAUGCUGGAGGUAUCAGAAGUGCGAAUGCUGACAUAAGUAACGAUAAAGCGGGUGAAAAGCCCGCUCGCCGGAAGACCAAGGGUUCCUGUCCAACGUUAAUCGGGGCAGGGUGAGUCGACCCCUAAGGCGAGGCCGAAAGGCGUAGUCGAUGGGAAACAGGUUAAUAUUCCUGUACUUGGUGUUACUGCGAAGGGGGGACGGAGAAGGCUAUGUUGGCCGGGCGACGGUUGUCCCGGUUUAAGCGUGUAGGCUGGUUUUCCAGGCAAAUCCGGAAAAUCAAGGCUGAGGCGUGAUGACGAGGCACUACGGUGCUGAAGCAACAAAUGCCCUGCUUCCAGGAAAAGCCUCUAAGCAUCAGGUAACAUCAAAUCGUACCCCAAACCGACACAGGUGGUCAGGUAGAGAAUACCAAGGCGCUUGAGAGAACUCGGGUGAAGGAACUAGGCAAAAUGGUGCCGUAACUUCGGGAGAAGGCACGCUGAUAUGUAGGUGAAGUCCCUCGCGGAUGGAGCUGAAAUCAGUCGAAGAUACCAGCUGGCUGCAACUGUUUAUUAAAAACACAGCACUGUGCAAACACGAAAGUGGACGUAUACGGUGUGACGCCUGCCCGGUGCCGGAAGGUUAAUUGAUGGGGUCAGCGCAAGCGAAGCUCUUGAUCGAAGCCCCGGUAAACGGCGGCCGUAACUAUAACGGUCCUAAGGUAGCGAAAUUCCUUGUCGGGUAAGUUCCGACCUGCACGAAUGGCGUAAUGAUGGCCAGGCUGUCUCCACCCGAGACUCAGUGAAAUUGAACUCGCUGUGAAGAUGCAGUGUACCCGCGGCAAGACGGAAAGACCCCGUGAACCUUUACUAUAGCUUGACACUGAACAUUGAGCCUUGAUGUGUAGGAUAGGUGGGAGGCUUUGAAGUGUGGACGCCAGUCUGCAUGGAGCCGGCCUUGAAAUACCACCCUUUAAUGUUUGAUGUUCUAACGUUGACCCGUGAUCCGGGUUGCGGACAGUGUCUGGUGGGUAGUUUGACUGGGGCGGUCUCCUCCUAAAGAGUAACGGAGGAGCACGAAGGUUGGCUAAUCCUGGUCGGACAUCAGGAGGUUAGUGCAAUGGCAUAAGCCAGCUUGACUGCGAGCGUGACGGCGCGAGCAGGUGCGAAAGCAGGUCAUAGUGAUCCGGUGGUUCUGAAUGGAAGGGCCAUCGCUCAACGGAUAAAAGGUACUCCGGGGAUAACAGGCUGAUACCGCCCAAGAGUUCAUAUCGACGGCGGUGUUUGGCACCUCGAUGUCGGCUCAUCACAUCCUGGGGCUGAAGUAGGUCCCAAGGGUAUGGCUGUUCGCCAUUUAAAGUGGUACGCGAGCUGGGUUUAGAACGUCGUGAGACAGUUCGGUCCCUAUCUGCCGUGGGCGCUGGAGAACUGAGGGGGGCUGCUCCUAGUACGAGAGGACCGGAGUGGACGCAUCACUGGUGUUCGG
rnacentral:rRNA from 1 species